GCUCCUCCGAUCUGUAAAGGAAUUCCAUAUGAAGUGGCUUACCAGAGGAGGUGGCUUGAGCUGAAUGUUGAAUGGCAAGUGGGGGAAGAGCAUUCAACACAAAGGAAGCAGAAUGUGCCAAGCGAGGUAGAGCUAUCUCCAUUUUACAGAUGAAGCUCAGGGAGGUUAAGUAAUUUGUCCAGAGACACACGGCUGCCAAGUGAGGAGCUGGCAUUCAAAUCCAAGGAACAGAGAGCUAUGGUCCUUGUGCCACAUCCUCAGGCUCCUGGAAUAGGAACGGAGAGGGACUCGAGGCUGGGGGAGCAUGGCAGAAAUAGGCAUUAAAAAAAAAUCAGCCAGCCCUGGGUUUCGGUCUUAACAUGAACAGCACACCUCUUCCGGAUCUACUUCACACACUCCUGGGCCUGCUCUGGGAAGGGAAGGGGGAGCAAAGGCACCUUCCAUGCUGUGGGUGACUCAUCGUGACCCUGGCUUAGUCACAGCCAAGUUACCACAAGCCAGCAGCAGAAGCCAUCCCAGUGUGAAUUCUGACCCUUUGGGAAAGAGGAGUGCCUGCUCUUCGCUUCUCCAGGAUGGCGGAGCCUUGAGGCAAAGCCUUACCAGGAGGCUGCUUGUGGGCUCUGAAGCCAUUUCUCCAAACCCUCUCUCCGGGGCAUAUGGAUAUGACAGAAAACGUACUUUAAAAGAAGAAAAAGGGAAAGGAAGGAAGGAAGGCACAGAGGAAGGAAGGAAACAGAUCAUAAACUGGAUUAUAAGUAAGGAGAUCGACAAGGAGGGAGACCUAGACCCAAGGGGCUACUCGCGUGUGCUCUUUCUUGAGCACAGAGAGGCCAACGAGACAGAGAAAGGCAGAAUGCGUUGUGUGCCUUGCUGCGAGGUGAAUGCCCCUCCCUGCCUCCAUCCUUUAGGAAAGCCUUUGCAGUGAGGCAUCCAAGAGAAGGUGUCACCUUCCUUGUCUCCAUCCUAUCCAAGCUGAGGAAGUCAAGAACAUCUGAAGGAGGCAAGAUGCAACCGUGCCCGUCUUGUCGUCUCCCCCUACUCACCCGUCCCUGGCUCCUCUGAGUCUUCUUCCUCCUCCUCUGAUGAGCCUCCGCACUUUGCACUUGCUGUUCCCUCCACUGGCGGCCCACGGUCAGUCCCUCACCUCCUCCAGGUCUGUGCCCCAUGUUGCCCCCUCAGGGAGACCUUCCCUCACCCGCCCAUUUACAAAGGCGAAUGGUGCAGCCACCUCUGCUUCUCCUCCUUCUCUGCUUUAUUUAUUUUCCUCCUCUAAAACGUAAGCUCCCUAAAAGCAAGGAUUUGGGUGCUUUUUGUUCUUGCUAUAUCCCGAGUGCCUGGCAGAGAGCCUGGCACAUAAUAGACAUUAAGUAAAUACUGGUUGAAUGAAGGAAUGGACAGAGAUUUGGGUGGAGACUCUUGUCCAGGGCCCCAUGUAGCUUCCCACAGUUGGCGCGCAACUCCUGGAGGGCACUGGACUUCCUGCAGGACGUGAGCUGGGGGUGCAGACC